GGGGGCGAAAAGCUUCGACAGAAAUCUGCCCCAAGAAAGGCAAGCCGAGGCGCAAGACCUCGUCCGCCUCUUUAAAAGGGCGGGAACUUGCAAAAAACAAGUGCUAAUUCAUUCAGUUCUCCUGCUCUAGCUUACGCUUAGAGCAGCAUCUGGGACGACUCAAUCUCGAUAGGUCAUUCUGGGUGUCAUUCUUGCCUCGUAGUCUCGCUGAAAGCGGGACGGCGGGGUAUCGAGAACGGUGUUCUUUUUCUGGCGAAAGCCAAGAAUGGCAGAAAAAAUUCGCCUAAUUAAUUUUUCUGCUUCAAGGAAAAAUUAGGCUAAGCUUGUAGUCUUUCUUUGGGAAAAUUUCCUGGACCCGGGUGCAAUUCUCGGCGCCUCCACUC
rnacentral:tmRNA from 1 species